GUGACGUAACAAGUGGUAUAAAUAGGAGGUCGCACGAAUAUGACGCUCUUCGUGGAGACGGUUGCUUAGCGGUCGCCUUCCCUCUUCGACAUGAGAGCUAAGUGGAGAAAGAAGCGCAUGCGCAGGCUGAAGCGUAAAAGGAGAAAGAUGAGGCAGAGGUCCAAGUAAACUGUCCACUGUCCAUGGCUGUGACAUCAAAUGUUGCUACUAACUAGACCAGUGAGCACAGCGUGAGAUCCAGGACCACUCCCUUGUGUCAAGUCUGAGGCCAGUGGAGUCCGUAUCGACCCGAGGCAGUGGCAGCUGAUUGAUGCUGGAGAUCUGAUUCCUGACCUGCUGGAUGUCAGUCUUUUCCUCUGGGACUUUCUGGACUCUUUGUUUUAACUCCUCAACUUUGGUCAUUUGUUUUUGUUUAUACUGUGAUUAAAGGUUUUGGUUUAAAAAAAGAA